rfam:Acetivibrio ethanolgignens strain ACET-33324 ACET-33324.Scaf225, whole genome shotgun sequence.
UUUGGUGGCGAUGCGUGCAGGGGUCACACCCGUUCUCAUCCCGAACACGAUGGUUAAGACCUGUGCGGCCGAUGGUACUAUACUGGAGACGGUAUGGGAGAGUAGGUGGCUGCCGNNN